rnacentral:misc_RNA from 1 species
CAACCCUCAAGCCCAGCUUGGUGUUGGGGACCUACGGCUCGCCGUAGGCCCCGAAAUUCAGUGGCGGGCUCGCCGUAGACCCGAGCGCAGUAGUAACAUCUCGCUUGCGGAACGACGGUGGGUGUCGGCCGUUAAAACCCCAACCUAAAUAC